CGCCUACAAAUGCUUUACGUUUGUAUGCAGAUUGCCGGAUCCGGCAGGCAGUUCCGGUGACUGAACUGCUUGCCGGAUCACUCUGCCGCAAGUGUGAAAGUAGCCUUAUCCAUUUUUUUACAGCCGUUAUUUUUCAUUCAUGUGAAUGUAUAUUUAUGGCCCCAUGUUAUACUAUUCCUUUAUUAUUCCUGCUAAAAGUUAUGAAUGAAUUACUAGCAGUUUGCAAUGUAUGUAUAUAUGUAUCCAUGUAGCUCAAAAUACACUGUAAUAGUGAAAAACAAAUAUAUACUGACCUAUUCCACAUCCAACCACCAUGUCCACUCUCCUCACAUCUGUUUUCGUAAAUACUUGUAUUCCCCAUGAAAUAACCAUUCGUGACUCGUGAGCAUCCUUUUAGAACUCUGCAUUGUGUCGUACCCCUGUAAUUCCUCCAGGUAAUGUGUGAAUAAAUUGACAGGUCGGUGUUAGCAUUCCUCCUAUCAAAGGCGAAUGUAAUAUAUAGUCUUACACUAUCCAAUCAGGGCUGCAGAGUCAAGGAAUGCCAAUCUAUUUGUACAUUUCUAGAAGGAAUAAUAGAAAACUCAACUUCUUCUCCUGUGUCAUAUGCUCUGAUCACUCCGUGGAAGUGAUACAAUACAGUGUUAUUUCCGGUGAGGUUGCCCAUUUCUCCCUGUGCGUCAUACAACAGAAUAGACCCUGAUGAAAACCUUCA